GACCCUAUGCAGCUUCUACUGUAGUUAGUUAUCACAUUCUCAUAAACUUUGUGUAGCGUAUAAGGUUAAUGUUUGUUUUAAAAACAAAAAGUCGAUAGACACAGUUGAAACACCUUUCUUGGUUUUAUGUUAAUGUUCACCUAAUCUUUUAUGGUUAGGGAUAAAUGACUAAUUGGCAGUUUGUCUGGGGCGGACGUCUUUAAUAGAGUAUCAGAGACAUCCACAAGGUAUGUCUUAAAUUGGAUGGAGACCAAGCAAGCCAUGAACGGUAUAAUAAGGUAUAAUGACUUAAGCAUGCUUAACUGAGAGACCUAUAAGUCAAACAGAUACGUAAGUAGGGCAUAAUGAUCCGGCGGUA
rnacentral:rRNA from 1 species